rnacentral:rRNA from 1 species
CAAUAGUGUAUAUUAAAGUUGUUGCAGUUAAAAAGCUCGUAGUUGGAUUUCGGGGUGGCCUGCCUGGUCCACCGCAAGGUGAGUACUGGUCAGCCGCCCUUCCUCUCGAAAGCCCCGACUGCUCUUCAUUGCAGUGGUCGGGUAGUUCGGGACGUUUACUUUGAAAAAAUUAGAGUGUUCAAGGCAGGCUAUCGCCUGAAUACAUUAGCAUGGAAUAAUGGAAGAGGACCUCGGUCCUAUUUUGUUGGUUUCUAGGGCCGAAGUAAUGAUUAAGAGGGACAGUUGGGGGCAUUCGUAUUUAAUUGUCAGAGGUGAAAUUCUUGGAUUUAUGAAAGACGAACUAGUGCGAAAGCAUUUGCCAAGGAUGUUUUCAUUAA